CCACUGUGUACUGUGUACAGAAAAGCAAGCAGAGGCUAAAUUAUGAGUGGGCAAAUGAAAGCUUAUGGGGCAGCAGUCACAGGCCAGGAAGGACCCAGAUGUUUCUGUCUGUCCACUGAGGCGCACCUCCUCAGCCAGGUGCGGGAGAGGUAGAAAUCAUGGCUCCUUCACAGCCCAGCAAACAGGCUCCGGUUUGCACUCACACUGGAGAAAUACUGAGACAGCAGUUCCUGGUGCCAAGCAGAGGCAAAUACUUCCGCUGGGCAGGGCUGUCCCGAGGGCUCUGCAAAUUCCUUUCCUUCUGCCUCACGACCAGGAGAGAGGCUCGCUGCUUGCUACACCAUCCCCUUGGACACACAGAGAAACUGAGUCUCAGCGGAUCGAGGACACAAGGUUUUCCACGCAGUUACUCCUGGGAACUUCACUGGAGUCGGGGGAGAGAGAGCUUUGUGUGUCGGGGCAGCGCCUCCCGGCCUGGUGCGUGUGUGUAACCAGAUGUCCUGCUGUAUUCUGUACCACUCACCUAGAGACAAGGCAAAGCGAGCUGAUCUCCAAACACUGCAUCCAGACUUACUGCAGAAGCCCAAUUGCCUCUCUCUUAGAGCAGCUAGGAAUGUCUUACACUGUCUCGUUACAUGUUUCCCGAUCCUUAACGUGAACAUCACCAGCAGAACAGUUCCACGUCAUUUGGAGAAAUUUGAUAGUGAAAUAUGUCAUGUCACUAAAUAAGCCAAAGACUUUUUCUCCAUGCUGCUGACAGGAGCUAUGACAACAAUACCAUAGAAUUCUCAUAGCCCCAUUCCCUUACAUCCAUGGUCUGGUUAUGGUAAUGCUAGGUGCUGUAGUAAAACAAAAAUCAAAAAAACAAAAAACCACCCAAAUCUCAGUUCCCCCAGAGACCAGAGUUGCACUCACGCCUACUGGUGGGGACCCAAGUCCUUUCUGUCCUGUGGCCCUGCUGUCUUUGGCACACAGCAACCGAGGUGUUCUAGGUGCCACCUCCAUCCCAGCUGGGGAGAAGAGUGCUAGCACAGAGUGCGGAAGAGUCUCACGGGCCUGGUCUGGGACAGGCAAUGCAGCUCCUAAUCUCAGAGCUUUUGAGGAAAUCACUCAUUUGUGGUCGCAGGUGGAGAAAGGACUGAUGGUUUUCUGGAAAACAGGACAAAAAGUUUAAACACAAAUAUGGCUGUGUGAAGCGGACAGAGGCACCAGAGGAAGAGGCUCCUAAUGGUAAAAUGUGGGAUGAGAUGCCUGCAAAGGGUCACUAGAAAUCCUUGUGGGGAGGAAGAGACUGGUCUGAGAGGAUGGAUGCUUAUGCAGUAUUGUCUAAGUAAGGCAAGUGGAUAAAGUUCAAAGAAACGGUAACUGUAAACAAUGAUCUCCCCACCCACCCCUCCCCACACAUCUGUUUGAAGCCAUCAGGGUUACCAUUUCAGUGAGGGUGCGGCAUCCAGGAUCAGGAAGGGGAGAAAGGGAAGCACAGAACCCCGAGACUUCCUACUCAGGGCUGAUUUUCUGCUCAAGGACCUAGUGAACUCAGUAGUGGCCAGCACCAUAUGUAGCCCUGAGCUUGAAGAAGCUGGUCAGUACUGUAGGCCAACUCACAGAGCUGGGGAAACAAAACCAGGGACCCAGAGCCAACUAAAAAGAGAGUCACAGAAAAGACCAGGACGUUUCAGUUUAGGGUCUCUGAAAGACUACAUGGUAGGAGCAAAGCCCAGUGGGAAAUAGAUCAACCAUGCAGGCCUUCAUACGUGGCUUUGAAUUAGCUCAGUUCAAAAUUUGAGGCAGGUGAUACACCAAAGCCCUAACUUCCUGUGAGAAGGAAAAGCAGAUUCUCCACCUAAGCCUCAAGUCAUAGCAAAACAUUUCAUGCACAACGUCUGGCAUACAUUAAAUAGUCAUUAGAUACACAAAGAAACAAAUGAAUCUAAUGAAAAAGUAAAGAGAGAAAUAAAAACAGAUCCUGCAAGGAAGUGCACAUAAGAUCCUGUUAUCCAAUGUGCCUUUAAAAUAACAGUACUUAAUAAGCUCAAGAAAAUAAAGAAGGAAGACAAUCUCAGGACAUGAAUGAUAUUUAUACAAAAAGUAGUAAUUUCAUAUCAUAACUGCAAUAAGGUGAAAUGAAAAAAUUCAGUUUGGGUUUAGGAAUACAUUAUAUUCAGCUAAAGAGAGAAUUAAAAAACUGAAAUUCAACAGGAGAGAAUAACCAGGUUAAACAGUGCAGUAAUUCAGAGUGC
rnacentral:lncRNA from 1 species